UACGUAGGGUGCGAGCGUUGUCCGGAAUUACUGGGCGUAAAGAGCUCGUAGGUGGUUUGUCGCGUUGUUCGUGAAAACUCACAGCUUAACUGUGGGCGUGCGGGCGAUACGGGCAGACUAGAGUACUGCAGGGGAGACUGGAAUUCCUGGUGUAGCGGUGAAAUGCGCAGAUAUCAGGAGGAACACCGGUGGCGAAGGCGGGUCUCUGGGCCGAUACUGACGCUAAGGAGCGAAAGCGUGGGGAGCGAACAGG
rnacentral:rRNA from 1 species